rnacentral:rRNA from 1 species
GAUGAACGCUGGCGGCGUGCCUAAUACAUGCAAGUCGAGCGAAGCGGGGACGGGUGAUUAACACGUGGAUAACCUCCUAUUAGACUGGGAUACCUUCGGGAAACCGGAGCCAGAUCGGAUACUUAUAGAAGGAUCCGCGCUGCAUUAGCUAGUUGGUAAGGUAACGGCUUACCAAGGCAACGAUGCAUGGCCGACCAGAGAGCGUGAUCGGCCACACGGGAACUGAGACACGGACAAGACUACUACGGGAGGGAGCAGAAGGAAAGAUUCCGCAAUGGGCGAAAGCCUGACAGAGCAACGCCGGGUGAGUGAUGAAGGUCUUCGGAGCGUAAAACACUGUUAUUAGGGAAGAGGUACCUAAAAAGAAAGCCAGGGAUAACUACGUGCAAGCAGCCGCGGUAAUAC